GGAGAGAUGGCCGAGUGGCUGAAGGCAACCGCCUGCUAAGCGGUUAAAGGGUCAAAAGCCUUUUCGAGGGUUCGAAUCCCUCUCUCUCCG
rnacentral:tRNA from 1 species